CACAGGUUUUAAGAAAGCUGAUAAAGUGGUUGUAAGUGAAAUAUAAGGGUAGUUGACUAAAGUGAUAAAGGUAGUUGACUAAAGUGUUAAAGGUGUUGUGUGGUGGGUCCACUAGUAAUAAAGUGUAAUAAAGUAGAAUAUAAAAAUGAAAUAAGUUGUUGUAUGGUGGGUCCAUUAGUGGCAAUUGAUGGUAAAUAAAUGAAAGAAGAAAGGGUGUAGUGGUACAAAAAGCAGAGUAGGGCAUUACUUUGUGGACAAGGAAAAAUGGGUAAGUAGGGCAAUAUUUCGUGGACGGAGGGAGUA
rnacentral:lncRNA from 1 species